CCGAGGUUGUUUUCCUGUGCGGCCUUCUUUCUCAAAGUAGAAAAAUAAUUCGUUCAGAGCAGGGAAGAGACCUGCAACUUGCUUCUGGAUAAGUCAUCUGGGGGAGAUGGCCCUCGUGUGUGUAAUGGUGCCUCACCUUCUCCUGGUCCUGGGAUGAUGACAGACGGAGAUAUCCUCUGGGAAGAGAAACUGGGGCAGGCUGGGAAUGAGCUGGCCAGCAGCGGGAUGUCGGAGGAGACCUGAUGAUCAUAGCGGAGCACAGAUUUAAGGAGGAAUCAGUUCCUGUGGCUAUUGUAAAGUGGAGACCUGGCUUGGACCCUUUCUCUGGGCGGUCCUGGUUGCAUCUUAGGACAAAUUGAAGAGAAGCCAGAAGAUGGAAGCAAGGAUGGCUAAACAGCAACGUUUUCUUCUGGUUGUCGCUUAAGAAGAGAGAGGCUCGGGAUUGCUUCCUGCCGGGAAACAGCCCUGGGACCCCACACGUGAGCCGCACCCAGGGGAUGCGAUAUAUGGGACUACGUAGUAAAAAUAUAUAUAUGAGCACCUGGGGAAGUGCUGAUCCUACAGUAGAGGGUCUCUCCAGGCAAACCAGACAGUUCUUCACUUCUCCCCUGCCGGCAACCAGGAAAUUUGGAAAUUGCUGGAGUUUCAGUCUUGCUUUCCCCUGUUGCUAAUGAAGUGGGUAAUUAGGCAGAACAGCGGCAAUUUCACUGAUUCUUUAAAGCCUUAUGAAUGGAAAAAUGGCCAUUUUUCCUUGUGCUGGUGCACCCCAGCUAUGAACCCCCCACUCUGGCUCGGCAGCGCUGAGUGUGAAUAAUCCGGCAGCCAAACGCCAGUGCUUUGGGCCUGGGGCUGGGAGAUGCCAUGGCAACAUCUCAGACAGGAGCUGGCUAUGAAUGUAUAUGCACACGCUAAUUAAAAUUUAAACAGCC